UGAAAUGACUCUCGAUAAUGGAUAUCUUGGCCCUUUAAUCGAUGAAGAACACUGUGAAAUGUGAUAAUUAUUGUGAAUUGCAGAAUCUCGUGAAUCAUUAAGUUUUUGAACGUGAGUUGCGCCUAUUGUCCUUUGUUGACGGGGCAUGUUUGGUUGGGUGU
rnacentral:rRNA from 1 species